rnacentral:tRNA from 1 species
GGUAAAAUGACUGAAUUUUAGGUGAUAAAUUGUAAAUUUAUUUAUGGAAAAAUCCUUUUACUA